rnacentral:rRNA from 1 species
CCUACGGGAGGCAGCAGUGAGGAAUAUUGGUCAAUGGACGAGAGUCUGAACCAGCCAAGUAGCGUGAAGGAUGACUGCCCUAUGGGUUGUAAACUUCUUUUAUAUGGGAAUAAAAUGUUCCACGUGUGGGAUUUUGUAUGUACCAUAUGAAUAAGGAUCGGCUAACUCCGUGCCAGCAGCCGCGGUAAUACGGAGGAUCCGAGCGUUAUCCGGAUUUAUUGGGUUUAAAGGGAGCGUAGGUGGAUGGUUAAGUAAGUUGUGAAAGUUUGCGGCUCAACCGUAAAAUUGCAGUUGAAACUGGCAGUCUUGAGUACAGUAGAGGUGGGCGGAAUUCGUGGUGUAGCGGUGAAAUGCUUAGAUAUCACGAAGAACUCCGAUUGCGAAGGCAGUUCACUGGACUGCAACUGACACUGAGGCUCGAAAGUGUGGGUAUCAAACAGGAUUAGAUACCCUUGUAGUC